rnacentral:rRNA from 1 species
GAUGAACGCUGGCGGCGUGCCUAAUACAUGCAAGUCGAACGCAUAGCGAAAGGUGCUUGCACCUUUCAAGUGAGUGGCGAACGGGUGAGUAACACGUGGACAACCUGCCUCAAGGCUGGGGAUAACAUUUGGAAACAGAUGCUAAUACCGAAUAAAACUUAGUGUCGCAUGACACAAAGUUAAAAGGCGCUUCGGCGUCACCUAGAGAUGGAUCCGCGGUGCAUUAGUUAGUUGGUGGGGUAAAGGCCUACCAAGACAAUGAUGCAUAGCCGAGUUGAGAGACUGAUCGGCCACAUUGGGACUGAGACACGGCCCAAACGACUACGGGAGGCUGCAGUAGGGAAUCUUCCACAAUGGGCGAAAGGCUGAUGGAGCAACGCCGCGUGUGUGAUGAAGGCUUUCGGGUCGUAAAGCACUGUUGUAUGGGAAGAACAGCUAGAAUAGGAAAUGAUUUUAGUUUGACGGUACCAUACCAGAAAGGGACGGCUAAAUACGU